rnacentral:rRNA from 1 species
GAAGCCCAGCUUGCUGGGUGGAUUAGUGGCGAACGGGUGAGUAACACGUGAGUAACCUGCCCUUAACUCUGGGAUAAGCCUGGGAAACUGGGUCUAAUACCGGAUAGGAGCGUCCACCGCAUGGUGGGUGUUGGAAAGAUUUAUCGGUUUUGGAUGGACUCGCGGCCUAUCAGCUUGUUGGUGAGGUAAUGGCUCACCAAGGCGACGACGGGUAGCCGGCCUGAGAGGGUGACCGGCCACACUGGGACUGAGACACGGCCCAGACUCCUACGGGAGGCAGCAGUGGGGAAUAUUGCACAAUGGGCGAAAGCCUGAUGCAGCGACGCCGCGUGAGGGAUGACGGCCUUCGGGUUGUAAACCUCUUUCAGUAGGGAAGAAGCGAAAGUGACGGUACCUGCAGAAGAAGCACCGGCUAACUACGUGCCAGCAGCCGCGGUAAUACGUAGGGUGCGAGCGUUAUCCGGAAUUAUUGGGCGUAAAGAGCUCGUAGGCGGUUUGUCGCGUCUGUCGUGAAAGUCCGGGGCUUAACCCCGGAUCUGCGGUGGGUACGGGCAGACUAGAGUGCAGUAGGGGAGACUGGAAUUCCUGGUGUAGCGGUGGAAUGCGCAGAUAUCAGGAGGAACACCGAUGGCGAAGGCAGGUCUCUGGGCUGUAACUGACGCUGAGGAGCGAAAGCAUGGGGAGCGAACAGGAUUAGAUACCCUGGUAGUCCAUGCCGUAAACGUUGGGCACU